UACGUAGGCAGCAAGCGUUGUUCGGAGUUACUGGGCGUAAAGGGUGCGUAGGCGGCUUUUUAAGUUUGGUGUGAAAUCUCCCGGCUCAACUGGGAGGGUGCGCCGAAUACUGAGAGGCUAGAGUGUGGGAGAGGAAAGUGGAAUUCCUGGCGUAGCGGUGAAAUGCGUAGAUAUCAGGAGGAACACCGGUGGUGUAAACGGCUUUCUGGACCAUAACUGACGCUGAGGCACGAAAGCGUGGGUAGCAAACAGG
rnacentral:rRNA from 1 species